rnacentral:lncRNA from 1 species
GCCAUUUCCUUCACAGCGUGGCACAGUUAACAAGUCAGUGCACCAACACAAUCUACAGAUGGCAGUUCAAAAGGUGCGGGUCCCCCCAGCAAGAUAAAGGGCAGGCAGUUCCAGGGGGAUGCUCAUUACGGGAAUGCAGCCGGGGGCUCCGGAGGGGUGUGAGCGCCGAACUGGGCUGCGGAUGGGGGGCGGGCUCCGGGAGGGGGUGCGUCAGUCCAACUCGGAAAAGGCAUGCGUGUCUUCGCAAAUCAAGUCAGUGUUGGGAGAGAGAUGUUAUUGAAGUAAAGUGCAAACAGCUUGCAGAGAAAGGAUACAUUCAGCCUGGGCUGCGUCCUUCCCGAUUCGGGAGAGGAGUGAGGGUGGUGACAGGGUACAGCACUUACCUUGUUCCAUUUAUCUGCAACUCUGGCAAGUAUAAGGCAAUUUCCUGAGCAAAGCCUCCAACAUCAAAAGCCGUGGGGGGAGCUCCCGGCGAAGGCACUGGGAAAGCGCCCUGAUCCGCAGAGGGCCCCGGCCGCCUUCUAGAUAGAGGCCUGCGCUCCUCGGCAAAUUACAUUAGUGCUAAUGUCCAGCGAAGAAUCUAUGAGACAUAUUGGGCCUUUAGACUUCAAAACAAGCUUAAAUUGGAACCACAUUGCGGGAAUACUUCUUAGCUAACAUUUAUAUUACUUCAGUUACCAAAUCCAGACUAAGUCCCCGGACUCGGCAGGGGAGGACAUAAUAUAUUAGGAAGUGAGAGGAGGGUGUUCUCUUCUGGUCUCCUUUUAUGAAAAUGUACAAAAACUUUCCUCGAACUAGCGAGAAAGUGACUACAAGGCCUUAAAAUGUGGCUGUCCGGCGGCAGCCGGGGGGCCACUCCCUGCCCAGGCCGGCCCCAUUUGCGAGUCGGCCGCGCCUUGGGGGACAGUUGCAGAGCCUGGAGUCAGGCUGCGGGGAGCAAGGGUCAGGUGUCAGGCAGGCAGUUACACACCUAAAGCGAGAUUCCGCGGGGUGCAGCGAGCUGUCAGAGGAUGAGAUCUCCGGAGACCCAAUCAGCCUCGCCUACACCGAUCUUUGCAAAGGGAGAAUCUUGCUGGGAAUCUCGCUUCUAGCCAAUGAGGAAUUUUCAGAAAAGCGAAAUGGAAUGCAUCAUUUUGACAUCUCUGCAGAUCUGUAUUCCGAAAGGUACUCAGAUAUCCACGAAGUCCUCCUCAUCUCACACCAUCGUUUCUCUCACUGGGCACAAUCCAGCUUUAAAGAAUUCAACACUUACUGGUCUUCAGAGGACUGUCAGCAAUGA